rnacentral:rRNA from 1 species
UAAGGAAUAUUGGUCAAUGGACGGAAGUCUGAACCAGCCAUCCCGCGUGCAGGAUGAAGAUUCUAUGGAUUGUAAACUGCUUUUAGCAUAGAAGAAACGCUUUCAUUAAUGAGAGUCUGACGGUAUAUGCAGAAUAAGCACCGGCUAACUCCGUGCCAGCAGCCGCGGUAAUACGGGGGGUGCAAGCGUUAUCCGGAAUUACUGGGUUUAAAGGGUGCGUAGGCUGAUGGGUAAGUCAGUGGUGAAAAGCUAUCGCUUAACGAUAGUCUUGCCAUUGAUACUGCUUAUCUUGAAUUGGGUUGAGGUUAGCGGAAUGUGACAUGUAGCGGUGAAAUGCAUAGAUAUGUCGUGGAACACCAAUUGCGAAGGCAGCUAGCUGAGCCUUGAUUGACGCUGAGGCACGAAAGCGUGGGUAGCGAACAG